rnacentral:rRNA from 1 species
UACGUAGGGGGCAAGCGUUGUCCGGAAUCAUUGGGCGUAAAGAGCGUGUAGGCGGCCCGAUAAGUCCGCCGUGAAAGUCCAGGGCUCAACCCUGGAAUGCCGGUGGAAACUGUCGGGCUGGAGUCCGGAAGAGGCGAGUGGAAUUCCUGGUGUAGCGGUGAAAUGCGCAGAUAUCAGGAGGAACACCGGUGGCGAAGGCGGUUCUCUGGGCCUUACCUGACGCUGAGGAGCGAAAGCAUGGGGAGCAAACAGG